rnacentral:rRNA from 1 species
AUUGCUUACGGGGGGCAGCAGUGGGGAAUAUUGCACAAUGGGCGAAAGCCUGAUGCAGCAACGCCGCGUGAAGGAAGAAGGGUUUCGGCUCGCAAACUUCUAUCAACAGGGACGAAAGAAAUGACGGUACCUGAAUAAGAAGCCCCGGCUAACUACGUGCCAGCAGCCGCGGUAAUACGUAGGGGGCAAGCGUUAUCCGGAUUUACUGGGUGUAAAGGGAGCGUAGACGGAAAGGCAAGUCAGAAGUGAAAGCCCA